rnacentral:lncRNA from 1 species
GCCUUUUCUUUUAAAUUGACCCAGAAAGACCCUUAUAUAUGAUCUCUCUGUCGCCACCUUUUAAAAAGUAGAAAUUGGAGAACAACAGUAACUUAAUCGCAUUCUGCAGAAGAUGCAAGCAUGUACCUUGCUGAGAUGCCUGAUGUGAACUCUAGUCUCCAUGCUUGGUCCUAUCAAAAGAUAAGUUUCUGAAAAAGAAAAACUGACAAAAUGUGCAUGAAGUCGUCAGUGUUAUAAUGAACUAAAAAAAUGAAAGGAAGGUGAAUCAGUAAUUCAGCAUUGUAGCUCAAAAUCUAAGGUUGAAUACAUAUAGUACAUACAAAGUAUCUGAGUUUAAAACUAGCCAUUGAGCGACCACGCUUACAAGUAUCUCACUGUCACACAUGCUGUUAGAGUUAGCAAUUGGAUCAUACAGCAUUUUGGUAGGAUGAGUAAAACUGCAUAGAGUUUCCAAUCGAAAAAGUCGGAACUGUCAUAAUUCAUUUACCAGCAGAAGUACUUAGAUGAAACAAAAUCUCCAAUAUACUUCAUUUCAAAAUGUCACGAGUAAACAAUCCAUUA